UCCCGGCGGCCGGGUUGGACCACCCCAAGAAUCUUAGGGCUGGGCCACCUCAUGAGAAUCUUAGGCGGCGGGGGCUCGGCCCUCAGGUCGAGCAACCCGGCACAAGGGCAGGGCAGCCUGGGACCCCCCCACUCUGCCCCAUCCUGCUGCUGGGGACCUGCGGGAGCUGCCUUACCGUUUCACUGAGGAACGUGAGCCACCACUGACUUGGAUAACGGCAGCCCCACCUUCUCUAUGAAGCAGGUUGAGUGGAGGCGAGGCCCACGCUGAACCAGUGCAGGAAGGAUUGCAGUGAAAAACCCCUCACCCAGCUGGCCAUUACCGAUUGGAACAGGGAAGAGGAUGUACUCAUCGGUGAGGCCCAGGGAUUUGGCGAAGUGGAUGAAAUUCUCCUUCAGUUGAGGGGUCAGCUCCUUGGUCCUCCCUGUGGCCAGAUGGCCAGUGAGUGGCCGGCAAAUACUCCAUAAAUAUCAUUGAAUGUGUGAACAAGGCCUCUGAUCCCUUCCUCAUGGAGGGUCUGCAGAAGGACCUCCCUCCCUGGCCGCCCACAGGGACUGCAGGCUGACACUGGAGAGGACCUUGGGGGGCUGGGUUGGCGUGGGCCUCUCCCCUGACAGUGUGACCAGGAGCCGGGUCCCCGAGGCAGUGGGGAGACCCACCGUAGAGGGUGGUCUUGAAGUACUCCUGGUUCUUGUAAACCUUCUUGAAGUACACUAUGGCAAACUGGUUGUAGUUGGUAGUCGCCACUCGCACGGUAUAGCUCUGCACCCCGGGGAAGCCUGUGGGGAGGACGGCGAGGGGUCAGCCUGCCCAGGCUGGGAGGAGGGAGCCGUUCCUUUCUCCCCGGCCCAUCUGCAGGGGCUUCUCCCACAGAACAGCAUCUGUGUGGACGGGCAGGGAGGUCUGCGCCCCUUCCUGGAGGACCCUGCCCCCCCAGAAGCCCAACCCCAGGGCCCGCCUCAUUCAGGACUCACCCUUAAUAUUGCCCAGGGUGAACUGGCCGGGCCGGGAACUUGGGACAAAAGUUCUGAUCCAGUGGUCACAGCGCUCGUCCCUGUGGGAGGGAGAGAUGGAUGCUCCAGCCUCAAUCCCCCUGGGUGCCGGAGCCAGAGACUCAUAGGGGCUGGGCGACCCUUGGCACCCUACCAUUUCUCUCUCCACCACCCCCAGAGGGACCCUGCUCAGACCCACUCCUCACCAGAUCGCUUCUGUGCUGGUGCCUGAGGCCCCUGGCAGUGUGAGGGCUGCCCCCCUGCCAAGCCACUCAGCUGCUGCUCAGAACAGCUGUACGACGGCUGCUUCCUGAAGGAGUGCUUCUCUCUGACUCAGGGUCACCAGCCCCUGCCGUGGACGCCUCAUGCCUCCUUCUGAGGCAGGUGGCUCGUUCAAGGCCCAGUUCCAGAGGCUACCUCCCUGUAAGCCCUUGAUGAAGCCCUGGGUGGCGGCGGGGGUGGGGGGGUGGGGGUUCCAGGCUGUCUCUGUCUUGUUUUCUGAAUGACUGUUCAGCCCCAGCACCCUCUGUGUGUCUGCUCUGAAGGGACCAAUAAAUGCUGAUCUCAU